rnacentral:rRNA from 1 species
UACGGAGGAUGCGAGCGUUAUCCGGAUUUAUUGGGUUUAAAGGGUGCGUAGGCUGAAGAUUAAGUCAGUGGUGAAAUCCUGCGGCUCAACCGUAGAACUGCCAUUGAUACUGGUUUUCUUGAGUAUAGUUGAGGUAGGCGGAAUGUGUAAUGUAGCGGUGAAAUGCUUAGAUAUUACACAGAACACCGAUUGCGUAGGCAGCUUACUAAGCUAUAACUGACGCUGAGGCACGAAAGCGUGGGGAGCGAACAGG